CCUACGGGAGGCAGCAGUCGAGAAUCAUUCACAAUGGGGGAAACCCUGAUGGUGCGACGCCGCGUGGGGGAAUGAAGGUCUUCGGAUUGUAAACCCCUGUCAUGUGGGAGCAAAUUAAAAAGAUAGUACCACAAUAGGAAGAGACGGCUAACUCUGUGCCAGCAGCCGCGGUAAUACAGAGGUCUCAAGCGUUGUUCGGAAUCACUGGGCGUAAGGCGUGCGUAGGCUGUUUCGUAAGUCGUGUGUGAAAGGCGCGGGCUCAACCCGCGGACGGCACAUGAUACUGCGAGACUAGAGUAAUGGAGGGGGAACCGGAAUUCUCGGUGUAGCAGUGAAAUGCGUAGAUAUCGAGAGGAACACUCGUGGCGAAGGCGGGUUCCUGGACAUUAACUGACGCUGAGGCACGAAGGCCAGGGGAGCGAAAGGGAUUAGAUACCCGAGUAGUC
rnacentral:rRNA from 1 species